AGUGAACGCUGGCGGUAGGCCUAACACAUGCAAGUCGAACGGCAGCACAGUAAGAGCUUGCUCUUACGGGUGGCGAGUGGCGGACGGGUGAGGAAUACAGCGGAAUCUACUUUUUCGUGGGGGAUAACGUAGGGAAACUUACGCUAAUACCGCAUACGACCUACGGGUGAAAGCAGGGGAUCUUCGGACCUUGCGCGAUUGAAUGAGCCGAUGUCGGAUUAGCUAGUUGGCGGGGUAAAGGCCCACCAAGGCGACGAUCCGUAGCUGGUCUGAGAGGAUGAUCAGCCACACUGGAACUGAGACACGGUCCAGAGUCCUACGGGAGGCAGCAGUGGGGAAUAUUAGACAAUGGGCGCAAGCCUGAUCCAGCCAUACCGCGUGGGUGAAGAAGGCCUUCGGGUUGUAAAGCCCUUUUGUUGGGAAAGAAAAGCAGCAGGUUAAUACCCCGCUGUUCUGACGGUACCCAAAGAAUAAGCACCGGCUAACUUCGUG
rnacentral:rRNA from 1 species